GAUGAACGCUGGCGGCGUGCCUAAUACAUGCAAGUCGAGCGAACAGAUGAGGAGCUUGCUCCUCUGACGUUAGCGGCGGACGGGUGAGUAACACGUGGAUAACCUACCUAUAAGACUGGGAUAACUUCGGGAAACCGGAGCUAAUACCGGAUAAUAUAUUGAACCGCAUGGUUCAAUAGUGAAAGACGGUUUUGCUGUCACUUAUAGAUGGAUCCGCGCCGCAUUAGCUAGUUGGUAAGGUAACGGCUUACCAAGGCAACGAUGCGUAGCCGACCUGAGAGGGUGAUCGGCCACACUGGAACUGAGACACGGUCCAGACUCCUACGGGAGGCAGCAGUAGGGAAUCUUCCGCAAUGGGCGAAAGCCUGACGGAGCAACGCCGCGUGAGUGAUGAAGGUCUUCGGAUCGUAAAACUCUGUUAUUAGGGAAGAACAAAUGUGUAAGUAACUAUGCACGUCUUGACGGUACCUAAUCAGAAAGACACGGAUAACUACGUG
rnacentral:rRNA from 1 species